UAAAGUGCAAACUUUAAACACUCAAUAUGCCAAUAUGACGAAUAAACGACCAUGAUGUCCUGAUUUGACUCCCGCCCACACAUUCCCUCAGAGACACAGUCCCAUCAUCUCGUCACUGUGUGUUUUUCCUCCUUCAGAUGGCACUUCACCGGUUAUACCACCUGUCCUCUCUGCUGCGCUCUGCCGUGAGCCUGACUCUGCGCAGGAACAUUGGCAUCUCCGCCGUCCUCUUCAACAAGAGCAAGGAUGAUUUUCCGAUACUGUUUGAAAUCAUGGUGAAGCAGCUCCCAGCUUCAAAGUUGUAAUCUCUGAGUGUCUGUUUUGAGUUUAAUCUGCAGUAUUGUGAUGUUUUCCAGCUGCACAGAUUAAAACGCAGUUAUAUCACUGAUAAUCCUCCUGUUCUUUCUCCUUUUUUUCAGAGCCCAAACUUGAAGAAGGCACCAAGUGAACGCUGUCCAUGUUGUAAAUCUCCUACAUGUCACCACCAAUAUGUUGUAUUUAAUAAAAGAGAGUGGAUUACAUUUCUCCUGCUGCCUUUGUUUUAUUUUAAGCAAGGUCCUCAUUCAGUGAGAUUGAUAGUUAAAAAGAAAAGGACAACCAAAAUAUUUGUAGAAUAAAUCAGUGAAAUUGUGUGAUAAAUGUUUAUUCCAAAAACAAAAUUGAAGAAAAAUGGUUGAAAGAAGAAUUUUCAGAAGCAUAAACGUGGUCGGAGUCAUGAAAGUUGCUGCAGUUUCAAGCCACUUUGAGUCGUACUGAUGUCUUUUCAUUAAAUCCAAAAGCAAACAAGACCAUCAGCAACUAUACUAUCCUAAUCCUAAUAUCUCAAGAAACUGAACUACAGUAGUAGUAGUAGUAGUAGUAGUAGUAGUCCUCCACCAGCAGAGGGAGUCGCUGUGAUUUCAGUCUUUGUCUCCAUCUAAAUAUAGUGACAGGCAGCAGAGCAGGAUGAUUUUCCGAUACUGUUUGAAAUCAUGGUGAAGCAGCUCCCAGCUUCAAAGUUGUAAUCUCUGAGUGUCUGUUUUGAGUUUAAUCUGCAGUAUUGUGAUGUUUUCCAGCUGCACAGAUUAAAACGCAGUUAUAUCACUGAUAAUCCUGUUCUUUCUCCUUUUUUUCAGAGCCCAAACUUGAAGAAGGCACCAAGUGAACGCUGUCCAUGUUGUAAAUCUCCUACAUGUCACCACCAAUAUGUUGUAUUUAAUAAAAGAGAGUGGAUUACAGUGUGGUUCGCUCUGUUUUUUAAUUAAUCUGCUCUGGUUUGAUCUUGAUUGAUAUAAUUCGAACAGGAGGGUCACCGAUUUUUGUGACUUUUAAAGCCACAAAAGUGGUUCUGGGGUAAGUUAAGUCCGUGGCUCAACUGAGAAAGGAAUGAAGUAUGAUGAGAGGAUCAGAGUUUCAGUUUAGAGGGAAAGCAAAAUGUAUUUUUUUUACAUUAGAAUAUUCAACUUUGUUAGCUAAAAUCACCACCACCAAGAGUUAUUCAUUUGAGUAUGAAGCCUUAAUUUUUCAGGGCUAGUUUGGGAAGUACUUUGUCGCUGUCUACUGGCAAAUUAAAUGUAUGACUAUUUAUGUCUCAUAAGGGGAGAUAAAAGGGAAAAGAAGCACAUUAUAUCCGUUUAUGCAUAAAAAAAAUCUUCAUGAAUGGAGGAUGAAUAAAAAGAAAAAUCUACUCUGCCGGAGAACAUGGGUUUUCUUUUAAGACUUCUCUAAGUCAAAAAUGAUCAAGAUUAAUAUUACUUGUUUGUUUGUUAAAUUGACGCUUUAGUUACUUUUGCUCAUCUUUAAUUUCAAUUUAAACCAUAUUUACAAAUUUAAUAUUCAUACUGCUUUAUAGUGAUAAUUGUUGGUGUCCUGCUUCCACCUGCAGUAGGUGGGCAGUAUCGGUAACGGGGGUGGGCCAAACUUUACCUGAGGGGACCAUGCUGAUAGCAAGUUUUUUUUCAGAGUGAAGCGAGAUAAAAUGAGAAAAUGCCCCUUUGGAGCAAGAUGCAAAAGAAAGAGUUUACGAAUGAGGUAAGCCAAAAAAAAAUUAAAUUAAUAAACAUUGAGUAGAGGUUGAUGAGUGGCGAGCUAGCACUAAUGGUAACGCUGAUGCUAAUGCAAAGAGACAGACAAAUUCCCAACUGGCAUCAUCCUGUGUGUCCCCAUGGCUCAGAGGAUAAGAAAACUGACUGGGACUCCUGAGGUUGUGGGUUCGAUCCUUACAUUAUUCAGCUUGAGGUGAAAUUUAAAGUCUAGUAUCUUGAAAGAAGAGUUAAAUAGGAAAAACACAGAUUUACCCUGUGUGUCCACAUGGCUCAGAUGAUAAGAAGACUGACUGAGCCGUCUGAGGUCGUGGGUUCAAUUCUUACCUUAUCCAGCUUGAGCUUAAAAUUUAAGGCCUCGUGUCUAGAAAUGGGAGUUAAAUAGGAAAAACCCGGAAUUACCCUGUGUGUCCAUAUGGCUCAGUGGAUAAGAAGACUGUUUGGGACUCCGGAGGUCAUGGGUUCGACCCUCACCUUACCCAAACCCAUUACAUUUUAAAGUUUAGUGUCUAGAAAGAUGAGUUAAAUAGGAAAAACCCAGAAUUACUCUGUGUGUUCACAUAGCCCAGAGGAUAAGAAGACUGACUGGGACUCCUGAGCUUGUGGGUUCG
rnacentral:lncRNA from 1 species